rnacentral:rRNA from 1 species
UUUUAUUUUUAAAGUUUGACCUGCCCAAUGAUGAAUUUAAUGGCCGCAGUAUUUUGACUGUGCAAAGGUAGCAUAAUCAUUAGUUUCUUAAUUAGGAACUUGUAUGAAUGGUUGGAUGAGAAAUAAGCUGUCUUUAAUUGAUUUAAUAAAGAAUUUUAUUUUUAAGUUAAAAAGCUUAGAUUUUUAUAAAAGACGAGAAGACCCUAUAGAGUUUAAU